rnacentral:misc_RNA from 1 species
GAUGAAGAACGUAGCGAAAUGCGAUAAGUAGUGUGAAUUGCAGAAUUCAGUGAAUCAUCGAGUCUUUGAACGCACAUUGCGCCCCCUGGUAUUCCGGGGGGCAUGCCUGUCCGAGCGUCAUUGCUGCCCUCAAGCACGGCUUGUGUGUUGGGCCCCCGUCCCCCCCUCCCGGGGGACGGGCCCGAAAGGCAGCGGCGGCACCGCGUCCGGUCCUCGAGCGUAUGGGGCUUUGUCACCCGCUCUGUAGGCCCGGCCGGCGCCUGCCGACCACCAUCAAUCUUUUUUCAGGUUGACCUCGGAUCAGGUAGGGAUACCCGCUGAACUUAAGCAUAUCAAUAAGCGGAGGA